GGUAUGUGCAUAAGUAUACUAAAGCCACCAUGAUCACAUCUGAUCUUGGAAGCUAAGCAGAGUUAGCCCUCGUUAGUACUUGGAUGGAAAACCACCAAUUAAUACCAGGUGCUGUUGGCU
rnacentral:rRNA from 11 species